rnacentral:rRNA from 1 species
CGGGGUGNNUNAAUAGAGAAAAAAUGAGUAACACGUGGGCAAUCUGCCCUUCACUCUGGGACAAGCCCUGGAAACGGGGUCUAAUACCGGAUAAUACUUUCCUCCUCCUGGAGGAAGGUUGAAAGCUCCGGCGGUGAAGGAUGAGCCCGCGGCCUAUCAGCUAGUUGGUGGGGUAAUGGCCUACCAAGGCGACGACGGGUAGCCGGCCUGAGAGGGCGACCGGCCACACUGGGACUGAGACACGGCCCAGACUCCUACGGGAGGCAGCAGUGGGGAAUAUUGCACAAUGGGCGAAAGCCUGAUGCAGCGACGCCGCGUGAGGGAUGACGGCCUUCGGGUUGUAAACCUCUUUCAGCAGGGAAGAAGCGAAAGUGACGGUACCUGCAGAAGAAGCGCCGGCUAACUACGUGCCAGCAGCCGCGGUAAUACGUAGGGCGCAAGCGUUGUCCGGAAUUAUUGGGCGUAAAGAGCUCGUAGGCGGCUUGUCACGUCGGUUGUGAAAGCCCGGGGCUUAACCCCGGGUCUGCAGUCGAUA